rnacentral:lncRNA from 1 species
CGCGGGAUGAGCCCGAGCCCAMGUGCAGCUGCGGCUGCUCCCCGAGGAGGGGCGGGGCGGGGGCGCGGGGUCAAAAGGCGCGACGCGGGAGGCGGCGCUUCCUGGGCCUGAACUUGGCUGACCCCUGCAGCUUCCGCUCUGCCCGCCGCCCUCCGCACCCCCGGGAGGACCUGGCUUCUCCUUGCUCCUUCUAGAAUCUCUGGCUAAAUUCCUGGGAGCCACAGCUUGAAGAUGACCUCUCCGGGCCAGCCCGAGCCCAAGGGCGCCCUCGGAGGAGCUGGGCCUGGCCCAGGAAUUUCUGACCCUGAGAGCCCGCCCACCCUAAGUGGUGCCCAGACCCUGGGCCAGCUCAAGGACCAGCUCCCCAGGCUGCAGCUUCGAGUGAGCACCCAGCUGGAGAGCAUCAUCCACCUGCUCACUGAAGUCCAGCAGGAUCUUCAAGAACACCACAGGCAGGUGGAAGCCUUCCUCCAGGCGGUGGACGGCCAGCCCGUGGAGGUGGGUCUCAGGUCCUGCAGGAGGGAGGGACGGCUUGGGCUCAGGGGUGGCCCCGUCUCACGCCCCCAUACGUGUGGCCCCAGGUGGGCCGACUCUCCCCUGGGAAACGCGCCGGCCAGGGCCACCAGGAGGCCCUGAGCCCCAGCUCCCCCCAGCUCCCAGAGGGCGGGAGCCCACAGGAGUCGGACUUCGAAGACGUGGUCACGGGAAGGCAGUCCGACUGGCUGCGGCCGGCCCAGU